GUCCGUAUAGAUCAGUGGUUUAGAUCGUUUGUCUUACAUGCAAUUGUUCACAAAAGGUCGCAGGUUCGAAACCUGCUACGGACA